rnacentral:rRNA from 1 species
UACGUAGGGUGCGAGCGUUGUCCGGAAUUAUUGGGCGUAAAGAGCUCGUAGGCGGUUUGUCGCGCCUGCUGUGAAAACGCGAGGCUUAACCUCGCGCCUGCAGUGGGUACGGGCAGACUAGAGUGCGGUAGGGGAGACUGGAAUUCCUGGUGUAGCGGUGGAAUGCGCAGAUAUCAGGAGGAACACCGGUGGCGAAGGCGGGUCUCUGGGCCGUUACUGACGCUGAGGAGCGAAAGCAUGGGGAGCGAACAGG